rnacentral:rRNA from 1 species
AUACGGAGGGUGCAAGCGUUACUCGGGAUCACUGGGCGUAAAGCGCGCGCAGGCGGGCUGAUAAGUUGGAUGUGAAAGCCUACGGCUCAACCGUAGACCUGCAUCCAAAACUGUCAGUCUAGAGUGUGGGAGAGGAAGAUGGAAUUAGUUGUGUAGGGGUAAAAUCCGUAGAGAUAACUAGGAAUACCAAAAGCGAAGGCAAUCUUCUGGAACACUACUGACGCUGAGGCGCGAAGGCGUGGGGAGCAAACAGGAUUAGAAACCCGAGUAGUCC